rnacentral:lncRNA from 1 species
UCUUCUAACGACUAUGACUUCCACACUAUCCAACCCCUCUCCCAGAGCAUCCUAGACAAGUCAAUUCCAUCUUGAUUCAAAAUACUGCAGAUGGAGCUAUAUGACGGCUCCAUCGAUUCAAUUGAUCAUUUGAAAAGUUAUAAGGCUCUCAUGAUGAUUCAGGGGGCAACCGACACCCUCUUAUGUAUUGACUUUUCGAUAAUUAUUCGGAAGGCUACUCGAGCCUGAUAUUCUUGGCUUC